UGCUAAAAGACCCUCGCUCACAAAAA
rnacentral:piRNA from 1 species